AACGAACGCUGGCGGCAUGCCUCAUACAUGCAAGUCGAACGGCACCUUCGGGUGCAGUGGCGUACGGGUGAGUAGCGCGUGGGAACCUGCCCAGCAGUGGGGGAUAACCGAGGGAAACUUCGGCUAAUACCGCAUGCGCCCGGGUAACCGGGGAAAGAUUUAUCGCUGUUGGAGGGGCCCGCGUCGGAUUAGCUAGUUGGUGGGGUAACGGCCUACCAAGGCUAUGAUCCGUAGCUGGUCUGAGAGGAUGAUCAGCCACACUGGGACUGAGACACGG
rnacentral:rRNA from 1 species